rnacentral:lncRNA from 1 species
GCCACCAGCUUCUCGUGGAGCUUCUCGCCGGCGUUGGCGACGUUGGCCAGGAGGCCCGGGAACAGCACCUUGAGCCCGCCGUAGCUGUUGAAGGUGGUGGCGAAGAGGAGGUUGUGGCAGGCCUCCUCGCGCGACAGGCCCAGGCCCUCGGCGGUGUCCAGCGCCUGCUUCGCCGCCGUGGAGAAGUACUUGUACAGCGCCCUGUAGUCGCCCUUGACGAGGAACGGCGGGAGGUGGAAGGUGUGCAGCAGCGGCUCCUCGAGCACCAUGGGGAGGCCGAGCGUGACGAGCGGGUGGAGCUGCCAGAUGAGCCACUUGGCCGCCUUGGUCGGCCCGCCGCUGCCGAGGUCCGUCGCGGAGGGGCGCACGCCGAAGUAGGCCUCGCCGAUGAAGUCGAAGGAGGUGACGUCGUUGAGCUUGUUGAAGUCGGCCUUGCCGCCGCUCUUGGCGAGCUGCGACUCGACGGUGGCGAGGAGCGCGGAGAAGUUGGAGCGGAAGGUGGGGAUGACGUCGUCUUUGCGGGAGAGGAGGAGGGAGAAGAGCAUCUGCUUCACCUUGGUGUGGGUGGGCUCGGAGGGGUCGAGGUAGGAGCAGACGCGGUAGCCGCCGGUGAGGGAGGUGGAGGGCAUGUAGGUGCCCGUGAACAGGUCCUUCUUCUCCACCUUGUCCAUGUCGAAGAGGACCGGGAAGCUCUUGGCGUCCAGGACCGCCACCACCCGCGGGUCGCGCGCCAUGAAGGGCCCCGGCGGCACGUUGAUGCGCACCACGGUGGAGCCGUAGCGCUCCACGCGGGACUCGAAGUACUUGUCCUGCCCCUGGAAGUAGUAGAAGUCGAGGCGGUCGCGCACGGCGCCCACCAGCGGCAGCCCGUAGCUGCCCGGCACGUCCCUGGGGGCGCUGGAACCACCAUCGUCGGAGCUCGCCAUUUGAGCCUUGUUGUUGGAUGCUUGCUUCCGAUCCGAUCCCCUACGAAGGAAAUUAACGUACACAAGCUCUCUCGCAAGUCGCAACUAGCUACGUACAGAUAGCUGCUUGGAUGAUUGCUUCUCUCUAAUCGAUCGCUGGGCAGGGCAGGCUCUGCUCAAAUUCGGUCGUCCCCUUCACUGCAAGUGCAAGGGCGUUUGAAGGUUUUCGAAGGACUGGAGGGAGGAGACGUUGAGUGCGUCUUGGGUAGUGCGAGGACGGGGGUACAAAUAGAUCGCCCGGCGCGGCGCGGAGAGAAGGCCGUGGCAACUUGGACCACGUUGGUAAUGGUACGUGUGUUCCGCGUGCGCCUUGGCCCUGAAAUGUUGUGGCCCGAUCCAGCCACAGUAAAUACUGGUAGCAUGGGUCAGCGGUGACGGUGAAGAUCUCGACGGGUUAGCGGCAGAUCGACAUCGUCGACUGGUGGUGGUGGCAUUGGCAUGGGUCAGAACGCUAGCGCCUUGGGACGCGUGCUUUCGGAGUUCCGGUACGUCGUCGAUGUCCUCGCUUGGCGUUGUUCGUGCGAUGACCGGGCCGGGGGUGGCCGGACGGGUGAUGUACUGAUGUGAAUUUCAAUUUUCAACCAGAAAUAACUUAGGGUGCAAGUGCAAGUGCAAGUCCGAUCAUGAGAUAAACUCAACGCCCAACGAAAGGUCGUCGUCGAGCGGCGAUAUAUAUAAAGUUAUAAAGUACGUAUUCCAGAGUUUGGGAUCCAAGCAAAGCGAGGAAAAUUAUGCACAAGUUUUUUUUUUGAGCGGGGCUAAAAUUAUGCACAAGUUGACGUGAUUUCUUAUGGUUCACCUGAUGUUAGAUCCUACUAAUAGAUAGUAACAGCAUUAGCAUCUCCAAC